GCCUUCGUGGUGUAGUGGUCAGCGCGAUCGGCGCGUAUUCGAGAGAUCCGUGGUUCGAGUCCCGGCGAGGACA
rnacentral:tRNA from 1 species